GACAUCCUGUCGAGUCUGGGAGGAGAGCUGGACGUGGCAGUUGACAGGAAGGAAGCAGCUACGCGGUUGAGAAUUUAACACAACAAACAAAGAAGGCGGCUGAGGGGGCGUGUCCCACCACACCUGCGGCUCAUCAGAGGCAGCUUCUUCUGGGUACUUAAGCAGCGCGCAGACAGAUGGAAGAUGCCAGAACCUUAAACCAGUCGUGUUUUUGUGUGCAUGGAAGCACUUACCUGUCCUGACAUCCCGAGAAAGAUUUCAAACCAGUGGAAUCAAUUGCUCAGAUCCUGCUCUGGCGGUCCCCCUCAUACUCCCUUGGCGUUACCAAGACGGGCGUGAGGUCCCCUUCCCGGAUUCCACUGGUACUCCAAAGACUCCUGUACUCUGGUCAAUCUCUUUGUCAUUCACGCCUGAGGUUUGCUUCGGGUCUCUCACCAGCUACAUCAGCCGCCCUCCAGCCACUACCACCAACUAGUGUAGGCGUACUA